GUGUACCUUUCAUUGUCUUUUUUUCUUUGUGGCAAGAGAAAAGUUAUUUCUGAUGUGCUAAACAGACAUUUGGAGGUAAAUUAGCAGCAUGACUAAUUUAGCCAUUGCUGCCAGUCACCUUCAGACAAAU
rnacentral:snoRNA from 1 species